rnacentral:pre_miRNA from 1 species
ACAUGCUUCCUUAUAUCCCCAUAUUCAUACAGCACUUAUGGAAUGUAAGGAAGUGUGUGG